rnacentral:rRNA from 1 species
UACGAAGGGGGCUAGCGUUGCUCGGAAUUACUGGGCGUAAAGGGCGCGUAGGCGGCACUGUUAGUCAGGCGUGAAAGUCCUGGGCUCAACCUGGGAACUGCGCUUGAUACGGCAGAGCUAGAGGAUGGAAGAGGGUCGCGGAAUUCCCAGUGUAGAGGUGAAAUUCGUAGAUAUUGGGGAAGAACACCGGUGGCGAAGGCGGCGACCUGGUCCAUUACUGACGCUGAGGCGCGACAGCGUGGGGAGCAAACAGG